GUGAAUCAUCAAAUUUUUGAACGCAAAUUGCACUCUCCUCGGAGAGUAUGCCUGUUUGAGGGUCAGCCUAUAAAAAAUCGACAUCGUUGCUGUUUCGCGGUGGCGUUCGUCGGAAAUUGGGUCAUCUUAAAUCCUUUUGGUUUUUAAGCGACUUAAAAUUUUCUUUUUGGUUCCAUGAACGUUUCUAAGAUUUAUUUCUUUACACGUUUAAGGUAUCGAUUUUUAUUGACCUUACCAUUAAUUUCGAUUCCGGUCAUUAAC
rnacentral:misc_RNA from 1 species